AAACCAAAACCCCCAUGCACGUCACCAAAGCCUCCCGGUAGCGCCCCGAUGUGCCCGUUGAAAUCCCCUGCUACAACAAUCUUCUCCGAACUAGGCACGCCUCUCACCACCUCCUCCAAAGCCUCCGAAUUGGUGAUAUUUCUAUGGCAUUAUAUUGCAAACUUUGGUGGAACUUUAGAACCACAGUGUCUUUGUGGAAGGAUUUCAUGUUUAAUAAAUACUGCAAGAAAGAGCAUCCAAAAAUAGUCAUGUGGAAAAAUGGGGGAGGUGGAUCUCAAGUGUGGAAGAAGAUGCUUAUUGCUAGGGAUCUGGUGGAACAUCUCAUUAUAUGGCAACUGAAUCAAGGAAAUUCUGAUAUUUGGUUAGAUAAUUGGACUGGGCAGGGUGACCUGUUAUCUAUAAUGGAAGGAGGACAAGAAGAGCAAGAACAGUAUAAGAAGGUGAAGGAUCUGGUAAGGGAAGGAAACUGGGAUGAACAGCUGAUUAGAACUUUAUUCACAGAGGAGAUAGCAGACCAUGUUCUUAAGAAGGUGACACCUCCAUCAGAAGUAGAGAAAGACUGGCCAAUAUGGAGUAUUGAACCUAAAGGUUUGUUUACAGUGAAAUCAGCUUGGAAUUAUAUAAGGAAUAGGGAAAGUAUUGACCAUAUUUUCAAGAGGAUAUGGGUGAAAGGUUUGCCCUUCAAGAUAUGUUUUUUCAUGUGGAAGUUAUGGAGAAGAAAAGUUCCUGUUGAUGAUAUAACAAGGAGGUUUGGAAUGCAAGGCCCUUCUAAGUGCUGGUGUUGUGAGGAACCAGCAGUGGAGACAAUUCAGCAUGUCUUCAGGAGUUCUUUUUAUGCUAACAGGACCUGGUCCUACUUUUCUUCUUUUGCAGGUAUUACUAUUCAGAAUUUGACACUGGGAGGAACAAUAUUAAGUUGGUGGAAUGCACAAGUAAAAGGGAGGGAACAACCAUACUAUUUGGCUACGCCUAGCGUUAUUCUAUAGGAAUUGUGGAGAAAACAAGAACAUCUCCGGCUUGAGGAUAAUAGACAAUGCUACAAGAAACCUGAGAAUGUUAUUGAAAGUCAGAAAGCCAGAGCUGGAAUUUUCAAAUGAAUGGCCAAAUAUAAUUAAGGAGAUGGGCAAUUUAAAAAUGAAAGUUAAGGCUGGUAAAGUCUUAUGGAAAGCACCAGAGGAGGGAUGGGUAAAGUACAACACAGAUGGAGCAGUUAGAGGUGCAGAAAGAGGAAGCUCAUAUUCAUUUUGCUUGAGGGAUGAGAAAGGAGAUAUCUUAUUUGCUAAAGGAGAACAACAGUACUAUGCUAACAGUAUGCAAGCAGAGGCUUAUGCAGUCUUUUAUGCAGCUAAACAUAGUACAACAUCUCAGCACAGUAAGAUUAUAUUUCAGAUGGACUCCUUACUUAUGCAGAAGCUACUAACAAAGGAUUGGCCUUGUCCAUGGAAUAUAGCAUACAUAGUCAAACAAAUCCACAAAUUCAUGAAGAAUAAGCAAGUACAGUAUCAGCACAUAUACAGGGAGGGGAACCAAUUGGCAGAUUAUCUAGCAAAUUUGGCAUUACAAGUUUCCAACAGUUACAGAGCAGAGGUAAAGCUAUCCUAAACAGUGACAAAGGGUAGAGUCCAUAUUUGCAAAUCAUACAAGUCAAGGGGUAAAGAGGGGAAGGAAAUUUUUACUGAAAAGGCUACAGUUAGUAUCUAUACAAUAGUUAGCAGUAAAGGUACUAAUUCUAAGCUAUUACAGUCAUCAUGAAGGAAAUUCAGCAACAAGAGAAGAUCGAUGGGCCAAAUGGAGCAACAUGCACCUGAGAGGAACAAGGAAAGCUGAACAAUGGUGGGGCCAAUCAACUCCUUUUUAUCAUCUGUUCUACAUCUACGGAGGAGGAACAAGAGAUCGACGGGUCAGAUGGAGCAACAUGCACCUGAGAGGAACAAGGAAAGCUGAACAUUUGUGGGGCCACUCAAUUCCUUUUUAUCAUCUCUUCAACAUCUAUGGAGGAAGAGCAAGAGAAUUUUCGCUAUGUAGAUCUGGAAACUACAACAGAAGACAAGAAGAAGGAAACAUACCUGGAUACUACAGCUUCAAGCUGAAGACUAGAUCCAUCUUGUUUGACCAAAAAUACAUCCUUUAUCUCAUUUAUUGGAGAAUGCAGCUGAAACACAAGCAAUAUCGACAUUCAGAGAGUAUGAGUACUCGCGGGGAACAUUGAAGACCUAAUUCCACCCAGUGAAAGAUACAUUUUCAACUUUAGUUCAAAGGAUGAGCUCAAGAAUUGGCAUUUGUACUCAGAUUCAGAAUAUGGAGGUCUAUCCUCAGCAGCUUUGGAGAUUAAGGACACUGGAAAUGGGUCAACUAGUGUUG